rnacentral:rRNA from 1 species
UACGUAGGGUGCAAGCGUUGUCCGGAAUUAUUGGGCGUAAAGAGCUCGUAGGCGGUUUGUCGCGUCGGCUGUGAAAACCUGGGGCUCAACCCCGGGCCUGCAGCCGAUACGGGCAAACUAGAGUUCGGCAGGGGAGACUGGAAUUCCUGGUGUAGCGGUGAAAUGCGCAGAUAUCAGGAGGAACACCGGUGGCGAAGGCGGAUCUCUGGGCCAUAACUGACGCUGAGGAGCGAAAGCAUGGGGAGCGAACAGG